ACGCUGGCGGCAGGCUUAACACUUGCAAGCAGAACGCAUCCUUCGGGGUGAGUGGCAGACGGGUGAGUAACGCGUGGGAACGUGCCCUUCAGUUCGGAAUAACCCAGGGAAACUUGGGCUAAUACCGGAUACGUGCGAGAGCAGAAAGAUUUAUCGCUGAAGGAUCGGCCCGCGUCUGAUUAGCUAGUUGGUGAGGUAAUGGCUCACCAAGGCGACGAUCAGUAGCUGGUCUGAGAGGAUGAUCAGCCACAUUGGGACUGAGACACGGCCCAAACCCCUACGGGAGGCAGCAGUGGGGAAUUUUGGACAAUGGGCGCAAGCCUGAUCCAGCCAUGCCGCGUGUGUGAAGAAGGCCUUCGGGUUGUAAAGCACUUUCGGCCGGAACGAAAUCGCGCGAUCUAACAAGUCGCGUGGAUGACGGUACCGGAAGAAGAAGCACCGGCUAACUACGUGCCAGCAGCCGCGGUAA
rnacentral:rRNA from 1 species